rnacentral:rRNA from 1 species
UUAAAUUGAAGAGUUUGAUCAUGGCUCAGAUUGAACGCUGGCGGCAGGCCUAACACAUGCAAGUCGAACCGAAAAAGGAAGCAGCUUGCUG